AUACGUAGGGUGCGAGCGUUGUCCGGAAUUACUGGGCGUAAAGAGCUCGUAGGUGGUUUGUCGCGUCGUCUGUGAAAUUCCGGGGCUUAACUCCGGGCGUGCAGGCGAUACGGGCAUAACUUGAGUACUGUAAGGGAGACUGGAAUUCCUGGUGUAGCGGUGAAAUGCGCAGAUAUAAGGAGGAACACCGGUGGCGAAGGGGGGUCUCUGGGCAGUAACUGACGCUGAGGAGCGAAAGCAUGGGUAGCGAACAGGAUUGGAUACCCUGGUAGUCCAUGCCGUAAACGGUGGGCGCUAGGUGUAGGGGUCUUCCACGACUUCUGUGCCGUAGCUAACGCAUUAAGCGCCCCGCCUGGGGAGUACGGCCGCAAGGCUAAAACUCAAAUGAAUUGGCGGGG
rnacentral:rRNA from 1 species